GCAGUCGACGACUCUGGUAUUGAUUGGUGCUUGCAUCAUGAUUUACAUUUGAGUGAGUGGCGAACUGGUGAGUAACACGUGGGAAACCUGCCCAGAAGCGGGGGAUAACACCUGGAAACAGAUGCUAAUACCGCAUAACAACUUGGACCGCAUGGUCCGAGUUUGAAAGAUGGCUUCGGCUAUCACUUUUGGAUGGUCCCGCGGCGUAUUAGCUAGAUGGUGGGGUAACGGCUCACCAUGGCAAUGAUACGUAGCCGACCUGAGAGGGUAAUCGGCCACAUUGGGACUGAGACACGGCCCAAACUCCUACGGGAGGCAGCAGUAGGGAAUCUUCCACAAUGGACGAAAGUCUGAUGGAGCAACGCCGCGUGAGUGAAGAAGGGUUUCGGCUCGUAAAACUCUGUUGUUAAAGAAGAACAUAUCUGAGAGUAACUGUUCAGGUAUUGACGGUAUUUAACCAGAAAGCCACGGCUAACUACGUGCCAGCAGCCGCGGUAAUACGUAGGUGGCAAGCGUUGUCCGGAUUUAUUGGGCGUAAAGCGAGCGCAGGCGGUUUUUUAAGUCUGAUGUGAAAGCCUUCGGCUCAACCGAAGAAGUGCAUCGGAAACUGGGAAACUUGAGUGCAGAAGAGGACAGUGGAACUCCAUGUGUAGCGGUGAAAUGCGUAGAUAUAUGGAAGAACACCAGUGGCGAACGCGGCUGUCUGGUCUGUAACUGACGCUGAGGCUCGAAAGUAUGGGUAGCAAACAGGAUUAGAUACCCUGGUAGUCCAUACCGUAACGAUGAAUGCUAAGUGUUGGAGGGUUUCCGCCCUUCAGUGCUGCAGCUAACGCAUAAGCAUUCCGCCUGGGAGUACGCCGCAUGCUGAACUCA
rnacentral:rRNA from 2 species